rnacentral:misc_RNA from 1 species
GCAAACUUGGUCAUUUAGAGGAAGUAAAAGUCGUAACAAGGUUUCCGUAGGUGAACCUGCGGAAGGAUCAUUAACGAAUUACGAACGUCUUCGGUUGAGCUGGCCUUCACCGGCAUGUGCCCACCGUCGUGCGCUUUUUCCAAAUUCAACACCUGUGCACCUUUGUGAGGGGAUCUUCUUUGCGCUCUUGUUCGGAACCUGCAAAGGUUUCGGGCAAGGGCAAGGAGGAGGACCCUUUACGUAUUUCAUACCCCAACCAAUACAGACCAUAGAAUGUAACAAAGUCGACCUGUGGGCGUAGGCGUAAACAACCUCGUCCCUGGACGCAAAACAAAACUAUAUACAACUUUCAACAACGGAUCUCUUGGCUCUCGCAUCGAUGAAGAACGCAGC